rnacentral:rRNA from 1 species
GUCUACAACCAUACCACCCUGACUGCACUUGACCUCAUCUGAUCUUGGAAGCUAAGCAGGGCUUGGCCUGGUUAGUACUUGGAUAGGAGAAAGUGUGAGACUAUUAGAAAGAUU